GCCGGGCGUGGUGGCGCAUGCCUGUAAUCCCAGCUGGUCAGGAGGCUGAGGCAGGAGAAUCGCUUGAACCUGGGAGAUGGACGUUGCAGUGAGCUGAGAUUGUGCCACUGCACUGCAGCCUAGGUGACAGAGCAAGACUCUGUCUCAA
rnacentral:SRP_RNA from 1 species